UAGGAACGGUUGGGUCUAGCAGGACCUUC
rnacentral:piRNA from 2 species